AUUAAAGUUGUUGCAGUUAAAAAGCUCGUAGUUGGAUUUGUGGUCUUGAGAGAAUUUGUCCGGGAUAUGUGAGUUCUUGUUCUAUUUUGGGAUAAGAGUUCUGAUCCUGUUUUUUAGACUUAUUUUUUCGACCAUCCUUCGUGGAGAACAGUCAUGUGCCCUUCAUUGGGUCGGGCUGUGAUCCCGAUCAAUUACUUUGAAAAAAUUAGAGUGUUCAAAGCAGGCUUACGCUGUGAAUACAUUAGCAUGGAAUAAUAAUAUAGGACUUUGGUCUUAUUUUGUUGGUUCUUGAGGACUAAAGUAAUGAUUGAUAGGGAUAGUUGGGGGUGCUAGUAUUCAACGGCCAGAGGUGAAAUUCGGUGAUUCGUUGAAGACUAACUCAUGCGAAAGCAUUCACCAAGGAUGUCUUCUUUAAUCAAGAACGAAAGUUGGGGGAUCGAAGACGAUCAGAUACCGUCGUAGUCUCAACCAUAAACUAUGCCGACUAGGGAUUGGCGGAUGUUGUUUUUUGUGACUCCGUCAGCACCUUAUGAGAAAUCAAAGUCUUUGGGUUCCGGGGGGAGUAUGGUCGCAAGGCUGAAACUUAAAGGAAUUGACGGAAGGGCACCACCAGGAGUGGAGCCUGCGGCUUAAUUUGACAACACGGGAAAACUUACCAGGUCCAGACAUAGUGAGGAUUGACAGAUUGAAGAUCUUUCUUGAUUCUAUGGGUGGUGGUGCAUGGCCGUUCUUAGUUGGUGGAGUGAUUUGUCUGGUUAAUUCCGUUAACGAACGAGACCUCAGCCUGCUAAAUAGUUGGGCGAAUACCAUGUCUUGCUUUGUAGUUCUAGAUAUUUAUAUUUGGAGCUCAGCUUGAUAAUUCGUGAUCAGCUUCUUAGAGGGACUUUUGGUUUUUAGCCAAAGGAAGUUUGAGGCAAUAACAGGUCUGUGAUGCCCUUAGAUGUUCUGGGCUGCACGCGCGCUACACUGGCACGUUCAGCGAGUAUACAACCUUGACCGGAAGGUCUGGGUAAUCUUUGAAAUCGUGCCGUGAUGGGGCUAGAUUAUUGUAAUUAUUAAUCUUAAACGAGGAAUUCCUAGUAAGCGCAAGUCAUCAGCUUGCAUUGAUUACGUCCCUGCCCUUUGUACACACCGCCCGUCGCUCCUACCGAUUGAAUGAUCCGGUGAAAUCUCAAGACUGAGACAUGUAGAAGGAGAGGAUACUCUCUAUUCCUUAUUACUAGUUUUGGAAAUUUGAUUAAACCUU
rnacentral:rRNA from 1 species